rnacentral:rRNA from 1 species
GACGAACGCUGGCGGCGUGCUUAACACAUGCAAGUCGAACGGAAAGGCCCUGCUUUUGUGGGGUGCUCGAGUGGCGAACGGGUGAGUAACACGCGAGUAACCUGCCCUUGACUUUGGGAUAACUUCAGGAAACUGGGGCUAAUACCGGAUAGGAGCUCCUGCUGCAUGGUGGGGGUUGGAAAGUUUCGGCGGUUGGGGAUGGACUCGCGGCUUAUCAGCUUGUUGGUGGGGUAGUGGCUUACCAAGGCUUUGACGGGUAGCCGGCCUGGGAGGGUGACCGGCCACAUUGGGACUGAGAUACGGCCCAGACUCCUACGGGAGGCAGCGGUGGGGAAUAUUGCACAAUGGGCGGAAGCCUGAUGCAGCAACGCCGCGUGCGGGAUGACGGCCUUCGGGUUGUAAACCGCUUUCGCCUGUGACGAAGCGUGAGUGACGGUAAUGGGUAAAGAAGCACCGGCUAACUACGUG